rnacentral:tRNA from 1 species
UCUUCGAUGGUCUAGUGGUGAUGAUUUCCGCUUGUCAUUAGCUGUCUAGUUUCAAGCGCGGGAGACCGGGGUUCGAUUCCCCGUCGGAGAG